GAUGAAGAACGCAGCGAAAUGCGAUAAGUAAUGUGAAUUGCAGAAUUCAGUGAAUCAUCGAAUCUUUGAACGCACAUUGCGCCCCCUGGUAUUCCGGGGGGCAUGCCUGUCCGAGCGUCAUUACAACCCUCAAGCUCAGCUUGGUGUUGGGCCCCGCCGCCCCGGCGGGCCCUAAAGUCAGUGGCGGUGCCGUCCGGCUCCGAGCGUAGUAAUUCUUCUCGCUCUGGAGGUCCGGUCGUGUGCUCGCCAGCAACCCCCAAUUUUUUUCAGGUUGACCUCGUAUCAGGUAGGGAUACCCGCUGAACUUAAGCAUAUCAAUAAGCGGAGGA
rnacentral:misc_RNA from 1 species